rnacentral:lncRNA from 1 species
AGACUACGACGAGCUCAGUGCCUUCCAAUUCCAGCGCAAAUCUGGACAGAGUCAAGACUGAGCCUGCUGAGACCGAUUCAUCUCAGCGGUUGGUUUCUGAUCAAGCGGUGGAGAAUCAAAGCCCGUGCCCUAGCCAGAACAAUCGAUCUGGCAAGAGGAAAGAAUUCGAGAAGAAGGUGAGAAACAAAUCGGUAUUGUAUUCGGUUCUUCGUUUCGUCAGAUUGCUAAGCAAGUCAGUGAUUUGAUGAAUCCCUAAAUUUCUAGGUUAAAAGCUCGACGAAGAAGAACAAAAGCUCUGAAGAGACCGAGAAGCUACCUUAUGUUCACGUUAGAGCUCGCCGUGGUCAAGCAACCGAUAGCCAUAGCUUAGCAGAACGAGUAACUUUCAUUUCAUAGAUUUCACAAAUUUCUCUUUUUGGUCUUAAUCAGUUGAUGAUGCACUAAUUCAUCACUAAUUUUG